rnacentral:tRNA from 1 species
CUAAAAAUAAGCUAAAAAAGCUAUUGGGCUCAUAACUCAAAAAUGAGUAUAUAACUUCUUUUUAGA